UGGCGGAUUGCUUUAGGGAUUUAUUGUGCAUGAAUUCUUUUUUAUUCAAUCACAUUGACAAUUUUUAAUUAUUUUUUAUAAUUUUGUUAAAUUAUAAUUUUGGGUUAUUUGCGUCCACAUUUUAAUUUUUUUUUUUGUUCGUGCGAGGACUUAUUCGUAAUUUUAAUAUCGUUUGAAACGAUUUCCGCGUUUAAAUGUGUUCCUGUCGCCUACCCCCCACGGCAGGUUCUAGUAAUUCGCGUUUCGUUAAUAAUUAUUUUUUUCAUUUGGUGUGUGGAUCCUUGCGAUGUUUUUCCCAGAAGCAACGCAACCCCAUACACUUUAAUUUAUAAUUAGUAUUAUUUGUACAAUAUUUAAUUUUUUUGAAUUAUUUUAUUAGUAGCAUGGAUGUAAAUAACUCGUUUAAAAAUCUAAAAACUUUGUUAAAUAAAUUAUUUGUUUUUAUUUUGACUGAUUUUUCUGCUGCAAUGCAAUGAAUAUGUUUUAAUAAAAUAAUUUUAAUUUUUUGUGCUUGCACAAUAAGUCUCCUAAACGGAGAAAUGCUGAAGACGUACUGUUUGAAGUUAAAAAAAAAAAGUGUAAAUGGGCCUCGACUAAAGAUACCAGGGGGUUGAGUACUACAACGAACAGGAGAACAUGUGUACCGAUAUGAUGUACCAGAGCACUGGCAGCGGAUAAAUACGAGCAGGCUACCACAUAGGUUGCAGAAUUAAUUUCUCACCACGACGACAAGCACCAGGACUGCUUGCUAGGAGAUUGUGGUGGAUUAAAAAGGUUGAAGGUACCCUUUUUGGGGCGCAAUGACUGCUACUUGGUACAUCUUGGCAUUGCGUUUACCAAUAUACAGGGUUUACCUUGGCGCCCCAAUCUGACUUAAUAAAACCCGGUAAUUAUCUGUAGAGUGCGUAACUAACUACACGAAUGAAACAGAAUCUAUACUUAUUAACUUAUUCAAUGUUACCUAGUUGUGUUCGUCGUAGGUGCGAAGAUAUGACUGUAUUUUUGUAGUCAUGUCUUAAGUCUAAAUUCUGAUAUACUAUUGUUUUGGUUGGUGAAAAAGCUUGAAAUUAUAGAUGUGUAUGAUACGGCGUGAUGAUAAUGGGGAUCGCAUACAAUCGGAGAGCUCUCACUUUUUCUGGAUUGUGUGUUCUUUGCCCAUGGAACAACACACGCACCACUAUACACUAACUGCCUCAAGGGCUUGUGUACUUCCGACUCUAUUGACUACCUCAGAAGACUGAUACUUAAAAAGUGAUUGCGUCUUUGUAACGACAGCAUGCAAUGUUUCCAAAGGGUUGCACAACCUUUAGUGCAAACUACAUCCGCCGCCCGCCUAUAUGGUUCCUGUCGUAUGUGGUCCAGAUUCGCGAUAAAGACUACAUACAUCAUUUCCAAGGAGUUUCUAAACUCCUAAACUAAAUCCUCACCUGCCUAUAAGGCUCCUAUCGUAUGAGGUCCGAAGUCGCGAUCGUUUUUUAGUAUCAGUCCUCUCAGGUGGUCAAUCCAAUACGGAGGACACAAGUUAGUGCAUUAGUGAUGGUUGUGAUGUUGUGCCAGGGAAAAAAAACACGAUCUAGAAAAAUCCGAUCGAGUUUUCCGAUUUUAAGCUUUCCCCUGCGUAAUUACGCCGUUCUAUACAUUUUUAAUCAUUUCUAGCUUUAUCAUUACCCAUCGUUAGUACAUUCGAAUUUAGGCUUAAUGCAUCACUAUACAUAAGUGCGGUCAAGCUCUCGGAUCUGUAAACAUAACUCGGUAACAAUCAAUAAGUUGGUAAGUAGAUUCUGUUUUAAUUGUGUAGUUAGUUAAAAUCUCCACUGGUAACUGCAAGUUUUGUUGAGUCGAAUUA